CGUAGGGGGCGAGCGUAGUCCGGAUUUAUUGGGCGUAAAGAGCGUGUAGGCGGCCGAAUAAGUCUGACGUGAAAUCUGGAGGCUCAACCUCCAGCUGUCGUUGGAAACUAUUCGGCUAGAGUCCGGAAGAGGAGAGUGGAAUUCCCGGUGUAGCGGUGAAAUGCGCAGAUAUCGGGAAGAACACCUAUGGCGAAGGCAGCUCUCUGGGACGGUACUGACGCUGAGACGCGAAAGCGUGGGGAGCGAACAGGAUUAGAUACCCUGGUAGUCCACGCCGUAAACGAUGGGUGCUAGGUGUGGGUGGUGUCGACUCCAUCCGUGCCGAAGCUAACGCAUUAAGCACCCCGCCUGGGGAGUACGGCCGCAAGGCUA
rnacentral:rRNA from 1 species